UACGUAGGGUGCGAGCGUUGUCCGGAAUUACUGGGCGUAAAGAGCUCGUAGGCGGUUCGGCAAGUCGGGUGUGAAACCCCCAGGCUCAACCUGGGGACGCCACCCGAUACUGCUGUGACUUGAGUCCGGUAGGGGAGCGUGGAAUUCCUGGUGUAGCGGUGAAAUGCGCAGAUAUCAGGAGGAACACCAGCGGCGAAGGCGGCGCUCUGGGCCGGAACUGACGCUGAGGAGCGAAAGCGUGGGUAGCAAACAGG
rnacentral:rRNA from 1 species